rnacentral:rRNA from 1 species
UGGGGAAUCUUGCACAAUGGGGGAAACCCUGAUGCAGCGACGCCGCGUGAGCGAUGAAGGUUUUCGAAUCGUAAAGCUCUGUCCUAUGGGAAGAUAAUGACGGUACCAUAGGAGGAAGCCCCGGCUAACUACGUGCCAGCAGCCGCGGUAAUACGUAGGGGGCGAGCGUUGUCCGGAAUUACUGGGCGUAAAGGGUUCGCAGGCGGCAUGACAAGUCCGAUGUAAAAGGCGAAAGCUCAACUUUCGUAAGCAUCGGAAACUGUCAAGCUUGGGUGAAGGAGAGGCAAGUGGAAUUCCUAGUGUAGCGGUGGAAUGCGUAGAUAUUAGGAGGAAUACCGGUGGCGAAGGCGACUUGCUGGACUUCAACUGACGCUGAGGAACGAAAGCGUGGGUAGCAAACAGG